rnacentral:lncRNA from 1 species
AUGAAAGCUUUCUCAGCAAGGAAGAUUGGCCUCUCUACUUUGGAAGACUUUUGUCUAUGGUUUAUGCAUGUAAGAGCCUUCCCACCUGCUUUCUACAAGCUGGAUGAAAUAUAUCCAUAAUGAUCUGUUUAAAGGACUUGGAGAGUGCCUGUUUUUAUGAGCAUUAAUUGCUUUCAGUGGGACUACUCAUUAGUAAAGGUAAGUCUUCCCAUCAUCAGGGACUAAUUAUGACAAUUGCAAA